CCUGAGAAACCCAAAAGAUCGAAUGGGGAGAUUCAUCGUCAGCGCAUUUUGUAUAUAUGUAAGUUAUGAUGUGGGUUACUCUUUGUAGUAUUGCCUCCACAUUCUUAUAUAUUUAGUUGCAAGGUGUUGUCGGCGUGCACUUCUCCCCUAGUAGGACGUCGCGACCCGUUGGGUGUCGGUCUACGGCCCAAAUGGAAGACUUUGAUUGUUUAAUUACAUUUAAAGACCUUUGGUGAUUUCUGACCGGCUACCCGGCGGUACUCGUAUGGUAUUAAGCCGCAAAUUUAUAUAUGCGUCCAAUCCGUCGCAAGCGAGGCCAGUUUAUGGUAGUACGGACCUAGUGCCGUCACUGUACCUGGCCAGCUGUUGGUUGUUACGGUAUUCUGGGACUGGCUUAAAAUCUUAUUACCGGUCGGCGAUGCUACUGCUUUGGGUACUUUCAGGACCCGUCUUGAAACACGGACCAAGGAGUCUAACAUGUGCGCGAGUCAUUGGAUAUUUUAAUAAUGAAACCUAAAGGCGUAAUGAAAGUAAAGGUCGUCCUUGCGUCGACUAAGGGAGGAUGAGUUGUGUUACGAUAUAGCUCCGCACUCCCGGGGCGUCUCAUUCUCAUUGUGAGAAGAGGCGCACCGAG
rnacentral:rRNA from 2 species